rnacentral:rRNA from 1 species
GAUGAACGCUAGCUACAGGCUUAACACAUGCAAGUCGCGGGGCAGCAUGGGGGUUGCUUGCAAUCCCCGAUGGCGACCGGCGCACGGGUGAGUAACGCGUAUCCAACCUGCCCUUCACCACGGGAUAACCCGGCGAAAGUCGGACUAAUACCGUAUGUUGUCCAUUGACGGCAUCCGAUUUGGACGAAAGGCUUGGCGGUGAGGGAUGGGGAUGCGUCCGAUUAGCCAGACGGCGGGGUAACGGCCCACCGUGGCUACGAUCGGUAGGGGUUCUGAGAGGAAGGUCCCCCACACUGGAACUGAGACACGGUCCAGACUCCUACGGGAGGCAUCAGUGAGGAAUAUUGGUCAAUGGGCGUAAGCCUGAACCAGCCAAGUAGCGUGCAGGAUGACGGCCCUAUGGGUUGUAAACUGCUUUUAUGCGGGGAUAAAGUGGCCCACGUGUGGGCUUUUGCAGGUACCGCAUGAAUAAGGACCGGCUAAUUCCGUG